GUUAAAGGCCUAUUGUGACAACACAGGGCUAAAACACACACACACAGGGUGGUUACCAAGCUGUGAUAGGAGUCAUCACAGUCACCAAGCUGUGAUGGCAUCAGGAGCACUGCUUUCCUGGCUCCAGAGCAGUGCUGUUUUGCAGGGUUUGGGUUCUUUAAAUGAUCUUUAAGCAUCCAAAGUGAUGGUACCCACUGGCUUUCUGGAGGGUCACAACCAGGCUGAAUGCAACAGGAUUCCACAGUGCUCCACACAACAUUCAAGAAAUAGACGACUCAAGCCAACUCCUACAACAAUUAAAGUCUCCAGUACUAUGCCCAGUAGAAUCCACAAUGAAACUUCUGCCAAGCCUCAUCCAAGUGCUGGCCUAGGAAAGCAAGAGAGAAAUUCCCUUAGUUUGCAGAAGAAACAGUGAUCAGAUACAAAGGUUGAAGGACCAAGAGAUCCCCUUCAGCUCCUUUUCCUUGAGGUUGUUUAUUAUACCCCUGAGGGAACGGACCCUGAACUAAAUCUUUUUUUCAUGUCCUAGCACAUGGCAACUCAGAAACCAGUGGGGUUUCCAGGCAACUGCUGCAUUCUCUUGAGAAAGCAGCAUCUCCAGCCUGCUUUGCCCCUAGAAAUACUUCACUCAAACCAUGCAUGAAUGGCAAAGAUGUAUCUGGAUGUUCAUAGAAUAAAUGACACAAACUGCUGUCAUAGCUUGAAGUCUGUUUUCAC
rnacentral:lncRNA from 1 species